UGGGUUCAAUACCCAGAAGAAAGGAAAGAAAGAAAGAAAGAAAGAAAGAAAGAAAGAAAGAAAGAAAGAAAGAAUUGUACUGAGAAUAUUGUAUGUGAUAGGCAUCUGGGCUCUGAGAGUGAGGUUAUGGCACUCUCUCUAACUUCAAGAUGCUCAUCUUCCUUAGGGGAGGCAGAGAGAAGCCAUCAGGUGAGCAGCUUGCUUUAUCACAUGCUCCCAACCAUGAUGUUCUGCCUCACCACAGGUCUAAAUGCAACAGAACCAACUUACCACGGACUGAAACUUCCAGAACGAAAGAAAUAGUUCCUAAUACCUUCACAGAAGAAAGCAAAGGAACAUCAACAGAUGUACUGUGUCUACAUUUAUCCAGUUGUUCCUUCAAAAACUGACAAAUUCUGCACCCAGGAUUUAAGAAGGGAGAGAUAGCCCUCUUCUCUUGCCUAAGUAAAUGCAUCAACCAAAACUUAAGGAGUGAACCAGCUGUCCCUAGGAACCCAUGCAUAAACAAAAGAAAAAGCACAUCCAAAGAAACAGCAAAGACAAAUAA
rnacentral:lncRNA from 1 species